rnacentral:rRNA from 1 species
CAGGUCGUUCCGCGAAGGUGCUGCUCCAUUCCAAGUCCAGCAAUGAGUACGGUAAUGCUGACAUGGCCCAAAGAGGGUGAAAGGCCCGUUGGGGUGGAGGUGCAGAAAUGUCAGUGCCUUCCUGGGUAGACCUUGGAGUCGGGUUGUUUGUGAAUGCAGCCCAAAGUGGGUGGUAAACUCCAUCCAAGGCUAAAUACUAACACGAGUCCGAUAGCGAACAAGUACCGUGAGGGAAAGUUGAAAAGUACUUUGAAGAGAGAGUAAACAGUGCGUGAAACCGCUCAGAGGUAAACAGGUGGAGUUGAACUGUGAGCUCUGUGAAUUUAGCUGGUGAGCAUGGUUUGAGCUUGGUCAAAUUGGUUGAUGCUCGGGGUCUGCUUAGCCGCAGGUUUCCACCUUUUGGUGGGGACGCGCGAGGCACUUAUCAAGUGUUGCGCGCCUCGGGUUAUUCGGGCCAGCUUGCCAGUGCACUUUCACAGAGUGGUCACCACGACCGGCAUUGCUGUCUGGCUGUUGCGGUUAAACCGGUCUUGCAUUGUCCUCGUGGCUUUGCUUGGUCGGGAUGGCAGGUAGCCCGUUGGCCGGCUUGUAGCUUGCUGCAGGCGUCUGGUCCUCGGGUGUAAUCAGCUGACCGUAUCAGUUCUGUGCAGUAUGUCGGAGACGGCGGCUUGUGGUGUGUGCGUGCGUUCCUGUUAGCUGGCGUGUCCGGGUUUGGUUGUUAUGUUGCCUGUGUUUGCAGGC